CACGUAGGGUGCGAGCGUUGUCCGGAAUUACUGGGCGUAAAGGGCUCGUAGGCGGCCAACUAAGUCGGAUGUGAAAUCCCCAGGCUUAACCUGGGAACUGCAUCCGAUACUGGAUGGCUUGAAUCCGGGAGAGGGAUGCAGAAUUCCAGGUGUAGCGGUGAAAUGCGUAGAUAUCUGGAGGAAUACCGGUGGCGAAGGCGGCAUCCUGGACCGGCAUUGACGCUGAUGAGCGAAAGCUAGGGGAGCAAACGGG
rnacentral:rRNA from 1 species